rnacentral:rRNA from 1 species
CACGUAGGGCGCAAGCGUUGUCCGGAAUUAUUGGGCGUAAAGAGCUCGUAGGCGGCUUGUCGCGUCGGCUGUGAAAACCCGUGGCUCAACCAUGUGGUCUGCAGUCGAUACGGGCAGGCUAGAAUUCGGUAGGGGAGACUGGAAUUCCUGGUGUAGCGGUGGAAUGCGCAGAUAUCAGGAGGAACACCAAUUGCGAAGGCAGCUCGCUGGGACGUUACUGACGCUGAGACGCGAAAGCGUGGGGAGCAAACAGG